GGGGAUAACUACUGGAAACGGUAGCUAAUACCGCAUAACGUCGCAAGACCAAAGAGGGGGCCUUCGGGCCUCUUGUCAUCGGAUGUGCCCAGAUGGGAUUAGCUUGUUGUGGGGGUAACGGCUCACCAAGGCGACGAUCCCUAGCUGGUCUGAGAGGAUGACCAGCCACACUGGAACUGAGACACGGUCCAGACUCCUACGGGAGGCAGCAGUGGGGAAUAUUGCACAAUGGGCGCAAGCCUGAUGCAGCCAUGCCGCGUGUAUGAAGAAGGCCUUCGGGUUGUAAAGUACUUUCAGCGGGGAGGAAGGGAGUAAAGUUAAUACCUUUGCUCAUUGACGUUACCCGCAGAAGAAGCACCGGCUAACUCCGUGCCAGCAGCCGCGGUAAUACGGAGGGUGCAAGCGUUAAUCGGAAUUACUGGGCGUAAAGCGCACGCAGGCGGUUUGUUAAGUCAGAUGUGAAAUCCCCGGGCUCAACCUGGGAACUGCAUCUGAUACUGGCAAGCUUGAGUCUCGUAGAGGGGGGUAGAAUUCCAGGUGUAGCGGUGAAAUGCGUAGAGAUCUGGAGGAAUACCGGUGGCGAAGGCGGCCCCCUGGACGAAGACUGACGCUCAGGUGCGAAAGCGUGGGGAGCAAACAGGAUUAGAUACCCU
rnacentral:rRNA from 1 species